AGAGUUUGAUCAUGGCUCAGGAUGAACGCUGGCGGUAUGCUUAACACAUGCAAGUCGAACGGAAUCCUUAGGGAUUUAGUGGCGGACGGGUGAGUAACGCGUGAGAAUCUGCCUUCAGGUUCGGGACAACCACUGGAAACGGUGGCUAAUACCGAAUGUGCAGCAAUGUGAAAAAUUUAUUGCCUGAAGAUGAGCUCGCGUCUGAUUAGCUAGUAGGUGUGGUAAGAGCGCACCUAGGCGACGAUCAGUAGCUGGUCUGAGAGGAUGAUCAGCCACACUGGGACUGAGACACGGCCCAGACUCCUACGGGAGGCAGCAGUGGGGAAUUUUCCGCAAUGGGCGAAAGCCUGACGGAGCAAUACCGCGUGAGGGAGGAAGGCUCUUGGGUUGUAAACCUCUUUUCUCAAGGAAGAAAAAAAUGACGGUACUUGAGGAAUAAGCAUCGGCUAACUCCGUGCCAGCAGCCGCGGUAAUACGGAGGAUGCAAGCGUUAUCCGGAAUGAUUGGGCGUAAAGCGUCCGCAGGUGGCUAUGUAAGUCUGCUGUUAAAGGGUCUGGCUCAACCAGAUAAAGGCAGUGGAAACUACAUGGCUAGAGUGCGUUCGGGGCAGAGGGAAUUCCUGGUGUAGCGGUGAAAUGCGUAGAGAUCAGGAAGAACACCGGUGGCGAAAGCGCUCUGCUAGGCCGCAACUGACACUGAGGGACGAAAGCUAGGGGAGCGAAUGGGAUUAGAUACCCCCGUAGUCC
rnacentral:rRNA from 1 species